rnacentral:misc_RNA from 1 species
AACUGAUACUACCUGCGGGAACCUGCGGAGGGAUCAUUGACAAAUCUUAUUUUUGAAGAGGAGAUAUGGCUUCAUGGAAUUUUUCGAUUCCGUGAAGGCAUUCUUUUCUUCAACAUUUGCUCGGAGUCGAGUUUUCGACUCUGAAUGGGGGUUAACUGGUAGUAAAAUAUCAGUUUUCCCUUUUGUUUUUUCGGAAGAAUUGUUGAAGUGAAAUAUAUUUGAUGAUUUGAAUGAAAAGAC